GAUGAACGCUGGCGGCGUGCUUAACACAUGCAAGUCGAACGGGAAUUAUUUUAUUGAAACUUCGGUCGAUUUAAUUUAAUUCUAGUGGCGGACGGGUGAGUAACGCGUGGGUAACCUGCCUUAUACAGGGGGAUAACAGUCAGAAAUGGCUGCUAAUACCGCAUAAGCGCACAGAGCUGCAUGGCUCAGUGUGAAAAACUCCGGUGGUAUAAGAUGGACCCGCGUUGGAUUAGCUGGUUGGUGGGGUAACGGCCCACCAAGGCGACGAUCCAUAGCCGGCCUGAGAGGGUGAACGGCCACAUUGGGACUGAGACGCGGCCCAGACUCCUACGGGAGGCAGCAGUGGGGAAUAUUGCACAAUGGGGGAAACCCUGAUGCAGCGACGCCGCGUGAAGGAAGAAGUAUCUCGGUAUGUAAACUUCUAUCAGCAGGGAAGAUAGUGACGGUACCUGACUAAGAAGCCCCGGCUAACUACGUG
rnacentral:rRNA from 1 species